CCUCUUCGGCUCUCAGCCAGCUUGCCUUCAAGAUCCUCAUCUAGACAAGGCUUAAAUUUGGCUUAACUGUUGGCUCCAGCAUUACCGUUUCACAAGGACGGAGGUGCAGCCUGUGUGGUGAUCCUUGCCAGGCGAAGGCACCAGGAAGAAUCCUUAUCCAAUGACGGGGACCCUAAAACUUGCCCGCACUCUUUUGUGAGUUGGGUUGGGUGGGGUGACUGCUGUCCUGCUGCAGAAGGUGUGGCUGUCUACUGUCUACCUUUUCUACCUCUGAAAUUUCACUUUGAUGGAGUUGCAGCGGCAGGAGGUGUCCGGCCUCAGAAAAUGCUGCUCCAAAGUCCUUUGGAUGGAAUUGAAUGAGACCUAGAGGAUUCACAAGGAAUCUCCAUUUUGAAGAUGGUGGCAGAUUCAAGAUCAGAAGUCUCACAGAGAGGGCUCCUGCUGAACGCCUGGGAGAAGAAUAGACCAGAAGGAGGCUGGACACAGAGGCUGUGUGGGGCCACUCCAGCCUAUCACCAGGACACCUAAGCCUUCUGUCCAGUUGUGCUUUACACUGUCCUCCAGGCUUCCAAACAGUUUUCAUUGAGUCUUUGGAUGCUCAUUUCUGAAGCCACAUUAAAUCGAGGCUACUUCCUCUUAUUAA
rnacentral:lncRNA from 1 species